UCGUUAAGUGAAUACAUAGCUUAACGAAGCGAACCGGGGGAACUGAAACAUCUAAGUACCCCGAGGAAAAGAAAUCAACCGAGAUUCCCCCAGUAGCGGCGAGCGAACGGGGAGCAGCCCAGAGUCUGAAUCAGCAUGUGUGUUAGUGGAAGCGUCUGGAAAGUCGCACGAUACAGGGUGAAAGUCCCGUACACCAAAAUGCAUAUGCUGUGAGCUCGAUGAGUAGGGCGGGACACGUGGUAUCCUGUCUGAAUAUGGGGGGACCAUCCUCCAAGGCUAAAUACUCCUGACUGACCGAUAGUGAACCAGUACCGUGAGGGAAAGGCGAAAAGAACCCCGGCGAGGGGAGUGAAAAAGAACCUGAAACCGUGUACGUACAAGCAGUGGGAGCACGCUUAGGCGUGUGACUGCGUACCUUUUGUAUAAUGGGUCAGCGACUUAUAUUCUGUAGCAAGGUUAACCGAAUAGGGGAGCCGAAGGGAAACCGAGUCUUAACUGGGCGUUAAGUUGCAGGGUAUAGACCCGAAACCCGGUGAUCUAGCCAUGGGCAGGUUGAAGGUUGGGUAACACUAACUGGAGGACCGAACCGACUAAUGUUGAAAAAUUAGCGGAUGACUUGUGGCUGGGGGUGAAAGGCCAAUCAAACCGGGAGAUAGCUGGUUCUCCCCGAAAGCUAUUUAGGUAGCGCCUCGUGAAUUCAUCUCCGGGGGUAGAGCACUGUUUCGGCAAGGGGGUCAUCCCGACUUACCAACCCGAUGCAAACUGCGAAUACCGGAGAAUGUUAUCACGGGAGACACACGGCGGGUGCUAACGUCCGUCGUGAAGAGGGAAACAACCCAGACCGCCAGCUAAGGUCCCAAAGUCAUGGUUAAGUGGGAAACGAUGUGGGAAGGCCCAGACAGCCAGGAUGUUGGCUUAGAAGCAGCCAUCAUUUAAAGAAAGCGUAAUAGCUCACUGGUCGAGUCGGCCUGCGCGGAAGAUGUAACGGGGCUAAACCAUGCACCGAAGCUGCGGCAGCGACGCUUAUGCGUUGUUGGGUAGGGGAGCGUUCUGUAAGCCUGUGAAGGUGUGCUGUGAGGCAUGCUGGAGGUAUCAGAAGUGCGAAUGCUGACAUAAGUAACGAUAAAGCGGGUGAAAAGCCCGCUCGCCGGAAGACCAAGGGUUCCUGUCCAACGUUAAUCGGGGCAGGGUGAGUCGACCCCUAAGGCGAGGCCGAAAGGCGUAGUCGAUGGGAAACAGGUUAAUAUUCCUGUACUUGGUGUUACUGCGAAGGGGGGACGGAGAAGGCUAUGUUGGCCGGGCGACGGUUGUCCCGGUUUAAGCGUGUAGGCUGGUUUUCCAGGCAAA
rnacentral:rRNA from 1 species